AACAGCUGCCAAGACCAGAGAGAAACAGAGAAGGGAAUGUCAGGCUGAGACGUUUAGCUUACAAGUAGUCAUCAUUCUAAGAACUACAGCUCAUCUGUCAAAACGUACUGCAAGACACAAAAAGAAAUAAUGGAAUUAGAGGACUAUUAUGAAAAUAAACUCAGAAAUAAUAAGAACGCAAUUGGAUUCCAAAGACACUGCCAGGAUGAAGGAAGAGCUCAAAAUCACAAAGGAAGUCGAUGUUUGGUGCUGAUCACAGUGUGUCUCGGGAUCCUUUGUCUUCUUCUGAUUGCUGGCAUUAUAUAUCAAUACUUUUUGGGCACUUCUAAACAGGGAUAUCUGUGGGGUCCAGAUGGUUUGUUCAUAUCCAGUGAGGUGAAGAGCUGGUCUGACAGCAGGCAGUACUGCAGGGAUCGAGGAGCUGAUCUGGUCAUUAUCGACACUGAAGAGAAGCAGAGGCAUAUAACGUCAUUCCUCAAGGAGAGUGUGUGGAUCGGUUUGUCUGACACAGAGAAUGAGAGCAACAUGAAAUGGGUGGAUAAUUCACCACUGAAACAAGGGUUUUGGGCUGAAGGUGAGCCGAAUAACUAUUAUGAUUGGGAUGAGGACUGCAUUGAACUGGAUCCUACAAAACACACCCUGAACAACUGGAAUGAUCUCGGAUGCUCUAAGAUGAGAAAAGGGAUUUGUGAGAAAUAGGGUUUCAUCAUGCUUAACUUUCAGUCUUAUUCGGGGGCCGUUUCACAAAACAUUUUAUCUUACCACUAAGAGUUCUCCUAAAUCAGCAAGUUAGGAGCUACUUUUAGCUUUAAGAUGUUUUGUGAAUAUGGCCCCUAUCACAUCAUUUAUUAUUACAUUUCCUGUCUUUUAAGACAAUAUCAGUUAAUUUAACUGCAUGAACUGCUUUAAUGUGAAAGGUGAUGCUGCACACUUUACAUCUGAUGUGUUCAUGUCUUGCUCAUCACAAGCAGCUCUAUGCCAAUAUGUCUUAUUCUAGCUGUUAUCAUGUCUCAUUUGUUGAUCUGAAGUGUUGAAAUGACAAUCACAGUACUGAAGUGUAAAGUGUUUUAGAUUGCCCUGAUUCACCCUAUUAUUCAGUGUUGAGAUAUUGAGUGCUGUGAAACUGCUUUUGAGUUGAUUUGCUUUCUCUUUGAAUAAAAAACAUUAUUAACAAUU